GGGCCGCUAGCUCAGCUGGUAGAGCAACAGACUCUUAAUCUGUGGUCAAAGGUUCGAUCCCUUUGCGGCUCA
rnacentral:tRNA from 1 species